rnacentral:rRNA from 1 species
UACAGAGGUCUCAAGCGUUGUUCGGAUUCAUUGGGCGUAAAGGGUGCGUAGGCGGCGCGGUAAGUCGGGUGUGAAAUCCCGAGGCUCAACCUCGGGUCUGCAGUCGAUACGGGCGGACUGGAGUUCGGCAGGGGAGACUGGAAUUCCUGGUGUAGCGGUGAAAUGCGCAGAUAUCAGGAGGAACACCGGUGGCGAAGGCGGGUCUCUGGGCAGUAACUGACGCUGAGGAACGAAAGCGUGGGUAGCAAACAGG